rnacentral:rRNA from 1 species
GACGAACGCUGGCGGCGCGCUUAACACAUGCAAGUCGAACGGAAAGGCUCUGCUUUUGUGGGGUGCUCGAGUGGCGAACGGGUGAGUAACACGUGAGUAACCUGCCCUUGACUUUGGGAUAACUUCAGGAAACUGGGGCUAAUACCGGAUAGGAGCUCCUGCUGCAUGGUGGGGGUUGGAAAGUUUCGGCGGUUGGGGAUGGACUCGCGGCUUAUCAGCUUGUUGGUGGGGUAGUGGCUUACCAAGGCUUUGACGGGUAGCCGGCCUGAGAGGGUGACCGGCCACAUUGGGACUGAGAUACGCCCCAGACUCCUACGGGAGGCAGCAGUGGGGAAUAUUGCACAAUGGGCGGAAGCCUGAUGCAGCAACGCCGCGUGCGGGAUGACGGCCUUCGGGUUGUAAACCGCUUUCGCCUGUGACGAAGCGUGAGUGACGGUAAUGGGUAAAGAAGCACCGGCUAACUACGUG